rnacentral:tRNA from 2 species
CUGGAAGUAGCUCAGUUGGUAGAGCACGCGUCUCAUACGCGCGGCGUCGCAGGUUCGAAUCCUGCCUUCCAGA